rnacentral:lncRNA from 1 species
UUCACCCUUUCAUAAGAUUUCAUUUUGUAGAAACAUCAAAAAAUCUUGGAUGCUACAUGUCAUGGAGCAUUUGGUAUAUCAAUCCUUAUUCACUCCAGGGCUUGGCGGUACCUACCUGAAGGAAUAAGAAAGCAUAAAAGUGCCUAUUUACUACUGAACAGAAAGGCAGUGUGUUGCUGUUGCUAAUGGAAGGAUUUAUGUCAAUGAAUAAAUUGAAAUGUCAAAGGCAGAACAGCAGAAUUAAGGGAUAACCAUGUUCUUUCCCUCAUACAACGACACAGCAUAUAUAUAUAUAUUUUAAAAGUUGUUAUAGGAGUAUGCUACAGAAGCAGAAGAGCAGCGAAAUGGAGAAAACAUUUUUUAUUAAAUAUUUGGCUUUUUGAACACGCCACAUGUUUAUUACAUUGGCUAUCAAUAGAUAAUAAAUAAUAAUUUAUCCUUUCGCCUAUGUCUAAAUUUAGCAAAAUUACUAACACCACUUCGAGUUAAUUAGAAUUAAUUUUUGAUUUUGUAUUUUUGUAUAGUUAAGCUAAUUUUUAUUUCAACAACUUUCUUGUAAUAUACACUUGCUUUGGGAUGACAUCCUUGGAUUUGAUAGACAAACUACUUACCGAUGGAAUGUUUGCAGCAACAGACGCAUUUUUAUUUACAAGUUACAAGAAUUCUUCUAAUGAGCUGGUCAAAAAAUUCAUAGAAUACAGAUACGAACAAUGCAGGUUUCCAUUAAAACAUAGUAAAUGUAUAUGGAUAGGGCAAAUCAAACGGACUGAAAACAUGGAGAAGCAAAAAGGAUUCUUUCUCUUGGGUAUGGAAAGGGACCAUUUGUGGAAAGGGUUGCCAUUUAAACACAUUAAAUGAACGAGAAGACAAAAAAGGAUUUGAAACCUGGACAAUUGUAGGAAAUGUAUGCAGUCCAAUUUACACUAUGUAAGGUUGCAAUGCAAUGCUCUGUCAGUCUGUUAUAUGACUUAUUUCACCAUCAGUGGUAUUGUUUUUCUUUUUAUAAACAUCUAUUAUCGGAGGCACUUCCCUGAUAUCUACAGUUAGGAGUAAAAAAGCACCAUAUAGUCAUUCACUAGAUCUUCCAACAAAUGCGAGAGAAUUAAAGUUCAGGUUGUUGGUCAUACUGAAAACACCAAUAUUUACAAUGGUGUUGUCUUUCCUGGACUAUAUUCUUGAUUUGCUGUUUUCGUCUUCAUCUUCACCUUGCAACAUUUUGAUUUCCACUGAAACAACAAGUUUUCUGCUAUGGUAUUCCUCCUAAAUUUGGUUUGCUUUUCACACUUGCAAAUUUUGAAAUGUCACUGUUCAUGUUCAUGUCGGAAUGUUACUGGAAUGACUGCUGUUCAUUAAGAUCGACAGAGGGGAAGAAAGAAGAAGAUCCCGUUGUUAAAAUACUUGUCUAUUUUAUAUGUUUUUUUAAUUAAAAUUAAUUGUUUAUUUUGCAUGUUUUUUAUAGUUGUAUUUGAAUCAUUUUUUUA